AUGGACGCGUCGGGGGAGAUGCAGUGCGUGGGGCGGCUGGAGAUCGCCGCGCCGCCGCCUGCGCGCUACCUCCGCGUGGGCUCCCUCCCGGUCCCCACCGACGACUCCGCCUACCUCCCCGCCCUCCUCCCCUCCGCUUCCCCGACUGGGACUGGAGCUCCAAGGUAUCAAAUGCUGCCACUGGAGACUGACCUCAACACACUCCCCGUGAUUCCAAACCUCCCGGAGAAGGUUUUCCCAACGGAUGCGAAGAGUACUGAAGGAUUACGGUGUGGAAGCGGACUUUUCAACCAAAACUUAUCAAGGAAGUGUGAAGCACUAGCUGUGUCAGGCCUAGCUGAAUAUGGCGAUGAAAUAGAUGUGAUUGCUCCAACUGAUAUUCUAAAGCAGAUCUUUAAAAUACCUUACUCUAAGGCACAAGUAUCUAUUGCUGUUAGCCGUAUUGGAGACACACUCAUUUUAAACUCAGGGCCUGAUGUUGAUGAAGGUGAAAAGAUAUUUAGAAGACAAAACAACCAACCUAAAGGAUCUGAUCCAUCAAUUUUAAAGAACUUCGCGAUGCACUCGGUUAGGGCAGAGGCUUGUGAUUGCCCACCAAGUCAUCAACCAUCACAGGACAAGCAAACAGCAUCCAUGUUGCAUGGACCCUUCGGUCAUAGGGAGGGUUCCUUGGAUUCGUCCUCCUCGUCUAAUUUUAGCACGUCGCCAUAUUUGGAUCAAAAUAUCAGUAAAAGUAGAAAACCGUCACAUGGUACUUGUGAAAGCCUGUACUGGGGUGCAAGGGAAAAUAAGCAAAAAGUUCCAGGAUCGGACCCCAUUAGGAAAACCACUCGUGUUGGUGAAACCCCCAGUUGUGAGGUGCAAGAAUCUGAGAAGAGUAGGAGAGUGGGGAACAAUGGAUUUCGGAAGGUUUGCUUUUGGCAGUUCCACAAUUUCCAUAUUCUCUUGGGUAGCGACUUGCUUAUAUUUAGCAAUGAGAAAUAUAUCGCAGUCAGCUUGCACCUAUGGGAUGUUUCUAGACAGGUUACUCCAUUGAACUGGCUAGAAGCUUGGCUUGACAAUGUUAUGGCAAGUGUGCCAGAACUGGCCAUAUGUUAUCAUCAGAAUGGUGUUGUCCAAGGCUAUGAGCUUCUAAAAAAUGAUGAUAUAUUUCUACUUAAGGGUGUGUCCGAUGAUGGCACACCUGCAUUUCAUCCACAGGUCGUCCAGCAAAAUGGCCUAGCUGUCCUAAGGUUCCUUCAGAAUAACUGUAAGCAAGACCCUGGUGCAUAUUGGCUCUACAAAGGCGCUGAAGAAGAUGUUGUGCAGUUAUAUGACUUGUCCAUACUACCUGAAAAACGUACUGCUGGUGAUCAUAUAUCUACAUGCAGUCCUGUGUCCUCUUUAAUGAACAAGGGGAGAAGGGAAUCACUCUUCUCUCUGGGCACACUCCUCUAUCGUGUUGCUCAUAGGAUGUCUUUAUCGAAGGUACCUAGUAAUAGAGCAAAAUGUGCAAAGUUCUUCAGAAAAUGUUUAGAUUUCCUCAGCAAGCAGGAUCACCUGGUUGUCAGGGCAUAUGCUCAUGAACAGUUUGCAAGGCUCAUCCUUAAAUGCUAUGAGGAAUUGGAACUGACAACAGAAUCAUUUCUGCUUGAAUCGGAAGUUACUCUUACUGACUUGGAUGAUGAGUCUCCACAGUUGAGCCUUCAGAAUUUACCAUCAGAGCACGAUGAUGUAUUGACAGAGAUAAGCAAGGAUGAGCCAGCAGCCGUAGAUAUUAUGUUGGAGUAUUCACAAUCAGAAUCUUCACAUGGUCAUGUUGAUACUGGUACUGCAUCUUCAACUACAAAAGAUGUCUCUGAUGAUAGCUUGCUUAUGUGUCAGGCUGGAAACUCUCAGAUAUCAAAACCAAUUGCUGAUGCUAUCUCCUCAAAGUUGGCAGCUAUACAUCACGUAUCACAAGCUAUCAAAUCUCUAAGAUGGAACCGGCAGCUGCAGAACACUCAGGAUGAUUGUGUUGACAGUGCAGACACCAUUUGGGAGAGACCUGUUGACUUCUCUUUAUGUAGAUGUGGUGAUGUUGAUUGCAUUGAAGUUUGUGACAUUAGGGAGUGGCUACCAAAACUGAAAAUGGACCAUAAAUUGUGGAAACUUGUUCUUUUGCUGGGGGAAUCUUAUCUGGCACUUGGAGAGGCGUAUAGAAAUGAUGGGCAGCUUCAUCGCACUCUGAAAGUUGUGGAAUUAGCUUGCAUGGUUUAUGGGUCUAUGCCUAAACAUCUAGAUGGUGAUGAAUUCAUCUCAUCCAUGUCCAAUAGUUCGCUGUGCCUUGAAGAUGGUGAUCUAAACUCAAGCCUUGUAUUGGAUGAAGCGGAAUAUUUCAAGAAUGCAAAAUGCUUUGGUUAUGAUAUUUCUGCUCAACAGUUGCCUCCAAACUAUUUAUUCUGGGCCAAUGUGUGGAUGCUUGUAGGCGAUGUCUAUGCGGAAUAUCACCGAUUGGGCAGCCAUCAAGCACCGGUGCUCCAGGAGCAAAAGCCUGAAGGUGAACUUAGGAUGUCAAAUGAAGUUGCAAUGGAAGUCAAACGUCUUAAGAGAAAAUUGGGGAAAGAUAAGCAGAAUUGUGGAACAUGCUCACUGAUAAACUGUAGCUGCCAAAGUGAUAGGGCAAAUAGUGGCAGUAGUGCAAGCAGCAGUAGUCCUGAGGCCUCUACAUUGCAUGGAAGAAAGAAAAAUAAAAAAGCAUCUGGCAGGAACAUUCGUUCACAAUCUACUGAAAUUAUAGAGAAACCUAAUGCGCAGGAAGCUACGGAAAGUUCUGAAGAAACUCAGAACAGCACGAAUGAUACUCGUCUUGAGAAAAGGACGGUGGCAAAUGCUGAACCUGAUCAUGAUCACACCAUGGAUAAUCAGUCAAGUAAUGCUUAUGCUAUUCCUGAUAAACCUAAUGGCGAUGUUUCCAGUUCGAGCGGUGGUAUUUUUAAGUACCUUGGAGGUCCUAAACCAGGAGAUGCUGAAUACAACUUGUGUUCUGCUAUUCACUGCUAUGGUGCAGCUAAGGGAGCCAUAUUUGCAUUUCCUGUGCGCUCGGCAGAGUUCUCCACCAUCCUUAAGAAAAGAGGUUGGGCAUUCAAUGAACUUGGCCGCAUUAGACUUGAGAGUAAAAAUUUGAGUAGGGCUGAGAUUGCUUUUGCUGAUGCUAUUUGUGCAUUUCAAGAGGUCUCUGAUCACACAAAUGUUAUAUUGAUCAACUGUAACUUAGCUCAUGGUAGAAGAGCUUUAGCAGAGAAAUUGGCGUCGAAGAUAGAAGAAUUUCAGAUGUAUGAUCUUCCUGAAGGCUCAUAUAUGCAAUCUGUGAAGUCUGCCAAGUCGGAAUAUUUUCAAGCAAUAAACUACUAUACCGCAGCUAAGAGGCAACUGAAGUAUGCUAUUGCUGACAAUGAAGUUGAUAAAUCACUGUACAACGAAGUUUACACCCAGUAUGCCCAUACGCACCUCAGGCUCGGAAUGCUUUUGGCAAGGGAAAGUUUUUUAACUGGCAGCUACGAAGGUGGACUUGUUGAUGAAUCAUCUAACAGAACAGUUCUUGAGAUUUCAGCAAGUGAUGCUUUUCGGGAGGCUUUGUCUACAUACGAGUCCCUUGGUGAACUUCGCAAACAGGAGGCUGCUUUUGGCCAUUUUCAGCUUGGUUGCUAUCAAAGGGAUCUGUGCUUGAAGUUCCUGGAUUUGGUUAACAAGGAGGUCAAACAGAAGAACGAGGAUAAAUUUUGUAAGAAAGCUAAGUGGUAUGGUUCCCUAGCAGAGAAGAACUGGCAGAAGGCUUUAGAAUUCUAUGGUCCGAAGACGCAUCCUACCAUGUUUCUUAACAUCCUUAUGGCGCAAUCUGCCCUUUCUACUAGCAUCUCUGAUUCGUUUCAUUCUAGUGCGAUGCUUGAAGUGGCGCUGAUGCACUUGCUGGAAGGCCGCCAUGUUGUCGAAGCGAACGAGGAAUACUCAAACGAUGUGAACCUGGACAUAAAGCCGAAGUUCUGGAGCCAGCUGCAGAGCCUGCUGAAGAGCAUGCUGAAGAACCUGGACACAAGCAGGCCGGCAGCCUCCGCUGCCAGUCAGGCCAACGGCAGCGGCAGGGGAGACACGGCCAAGCUGAAAGAAAUGUACCGUCUGUCCCUGAAAUCUUCCUCUCUGGGCCAGCUGCACGCGAUGCACAAGCUCUGGGUCUGA
rnacentral:rRNA from 1 species